AACAAAAAACAACCCCAAAAUGUAGUGAUUCGUUUGCAACACAAUAUAGCUGUUUAGUAGUAAUGCUAAUAUUAAUAAAUGUUGUUAUCCAGAUUCGGGCUUUUUCGUUUAAUUCGGGUAAAGACCAACCAGCCCCCUCCCCUACAAAAAUUGGAUCCGGUACCGAGAUACGAACCCAGUAUCUACCAGCCAUAUUUCUUAUGGAUCAUUCAACCACUACACUACCGAGAUGGGUCGGCUUUAUCUUUAAUUCCGGCAUAACAGGGUUCCCCGGAGUGCUUUACAGAGGAAGAAGUAAAGGUCACGUGACAUGUGGUGUUCUCAGGCGACCAAUUGCAAUCUUAUUCUUGGAUUAUUUACUCAAAGGCGUCGCCUGUCUCCUCCGCGUCGCGAAGUAGUCCGCAUCAUCCUUUUCGGGCUGUGUUCGAACUGCGUGUGAUAGAUAAUAUGCUGACGUCAGGUUUCUCUUAUCGAUUUGUGCUCUUGGGAAAGAGAAGAAGAAACAAAAUGGAAUGGACGAUCGAAUUGUCACGAAUGACGUCAUACCAGAGUCAAUCAAGAAUGCACCCUAAACGAAAACUGGUUCGAAGACGAAUACUUCUGUAUGAAAUAUACACACUUUUGCAAACUGGAACGCGGGAAGACCAGGCGAGCCACCAUUAAUAUUUCCCGACAACCUCGUCCGUGCGUGAGCGCAUAAAGUUGCCAGGUCAGUUUUCGUAAUGCCUUCAAAGAAACUUAAAUUUUAAUAUUGAUUACUUUUCUUGAGUUCAAAAGAAUAUCUGUCUACUUAUUUUUAAAGGAGCUUGAUUUGAACCUCAUAAAAUUAUUCUUAUUGAUUUCUGAAAUAAUCUGUUUUAAAUACUAGGUCAUCACACACACACACACACACACACACACACACACACACAUACAUACAUACACACACACACACAAAGAC